rnacentral:rRNA from 1 species
CCUACGGGAGGCAACAGUCGAGAAUCAUUCACAAUGGGGGAAACCCUGAUGGUGCGACGCCGCGUGGGGGAAUGAAGGUCUUCGGAUUGUAAACCCCUGUCAUGUGGGAGCAAAUUAAGACGAUAGUACCCCAAGAGGCAGAGACUGCUAACUCUGUGCCAGCAGCCGCGGUAAUACAGAGGUGUCAAGCGUUGUUCGGAAUCACUGGGCGUAAAGGGGGCGUAGGCUGUUUCGUAAGUCGGGUGUGAAAGGCGCGGGCUCAACCCGCGGACGGCACAUGAUACUGCGAGACUAGAGUAAGGGAGGGGGAACCGGAAUUCCCGGUGUAGCAGUGAAAUGCGUAGAUAUCGAGAGGAACACUCGUGGCGAAGGCGGGUUCCUGGACAGUAACUGACGCUGAGGCACGAAGGCCAGGGGAGCGAAAGGGAUUAGAUACCCUAGUAGUC